AGAUGAAGAACGCAGCGAAAUGCGAUAAGUAAUGUGAAUUGCAGAAUUCAGUGAAUCAUCGAAUCUUUGAACGCACAUUGCGCCCUCUGGCAUUCCGGGGGGCAUGCCUGUCCGAGCGUCACAAAAGCCACAUCACGCUCGUCGUGGUCAUGGCGGAGGUGAGCGGCCCCCUCCCCGGGGACCGUCACGUCGCCGAAAUGCAUGGUGCGGAUGAGUCUCGACUGCCGAACGUAGUAAACUUACAACCGUCGGCGCGAUCGAAACCCUCCAUCUCGCCCCGACGAUGGACCCCCUUCGUACACCCAACGGUGGACCUCGGAUCAGGUAGGGAUACCCGCUGAACUUAAGCAUAUCAAUAAGCGGAGGA
rnacentral:misc_RNA from 1 species